rnacentral:rRNA from 1 species
CCUACGGGAGGCAGCAGUGGGGAAUUUUGGACAAUGGACGCAAGUCUGAUCCAGCCAUUCCGCGUGCAGGAUGAAGGCCCUCGGGUUGUAAACUGCUUUUGUACGGAACGAAAAGGUUUCUAUUAAUACUAGGAGCUCAUGACGGUACCGUAAGAAUAAGCACCGGCUAACUACGUGCCAGCAGCCGCGGUAAU